UCCUCUUCACUCCAACCCCACAAUCUCUCGUCUCUGGGGAGAUUCAUUAACGGGCCCCAGAUCCUCCCUCACCAAUGACUGGCACCAUCAACCACCUAUCCACUCCGCCCCUCUGCAUGGAUGAUGGGUGAACUGCUUUCUUGGAGAAUGGUUAGAGACAGCUGGAGAGAGGGAGGAGAAAGAAGCAUGACCUGGAAGUGACCAUGCAGAGAUGGAUCAAGGCCACUUUUCACCAGAGAGUCAACACUACCCACCCCACUCAGGCCAACUCAAAACACAUGGGGCAAGUGUGGGCGUAUUACACUUCUUUGACAAGAAUAACAAUUGACUAAUUUGUACUCACAUUUUAGCAGCAUUUAGAUACUGUAGGGGGCAUUUCAACCAAAACAAACAUGGCAGACACCAAUAGCAAAUAUACAUAUCAGAUAAAAGUGAUGGAAACAGUGUUUUAAAAAAACAGCUGACAUGUUACCAUGUAAUUAUUAAAUGUAUUUAUAGUCUUAAAGUUGUGUUUGAUUAUUGCAGGAAAAAGAGCUUUAAUAACAGUCCAAAUAUCAGCUUUCCCUCUUUCUUCAAGUCUGUGUGAGGUCUGAGGUCCUUAUUCCUGAGGUAGGCCAGAGCUGAUAACCCCGCCCGGGCACCAACAGAUAAGAGCAUUCAGUGAGAUCCCACUAACACUGAGCUAAAGAGGCUCUGUAGGCAAAAGGAAGAUAAACUGGAUCCAACAGAUUCCAGGAGAUUCUCUCAGUCGGCAUUUCCUUUAAUGACAGAUGCCAAAAACAGAUGGUUGAAGUUAGGUACCCAAAUAUAUCACAAAAGGGGUUCCACCUAAAAAUAUAUUACACAUCUCAAAUGUUCUGAUUUUGUCACCUACGUCAUUGCAUCCAUGCCCGGCCCGUUGAGAGGAGUGUUCUGUUCGUUCCAUUUAGUCUCAUAACCUAAAUGGUCGUGCUUGUGUGUAAUUAUUUAAAGAAACUGCUGCUAAUACUAGAUUGAUGAGGUGCGUGGUCAGAAUUCCCCAUGAUACAAACUGAACAUCCCUACAUUUUGCAAUCUGAGAUCUUCUAACGUGAUCUCAUCCCUACUCGUCAUACUUUGCAGCUUAGGCAGUCACUAUAAUGAUGCUGCGAACUGCCUCGAUGCAGAAGGUUUGCACGUGGUUUAGUUGUGAAACAGUUGCGGUUAGAUUUUGGCAACGAAACUCCGUCAUGGUUUCAAGAUCAUGGUUUGUGUUGAAAUAAGUUUGUUACGUAACCUAAGUUACGGAGGAAAUGUCCCUUGGCUCAGUGGCUCAGCGUCGAUGGCAUUAAGUCCUCACUAUAAAUAAAUAACUCAACUUUUGGUUUCAAGCGGAACUCCAACUUCAGUAGCCUGGUUGAAAGUCCUGUUUGUUUGACCCAAUCGGUCCCACCUUGAGCAAGCUUUAUAUGUUAAUACCACAUCUAUUGUUAUGAUAAUUAGGUUUAUGUUGGAGUUAUUUAAAAGCCUGAUGUCUCAAAUCUACGCUAAAGGGUGCCUUGUGCAUCCGUAUGAAGACACUGAAGGCUACAUGUCCUGCUGCAAGGCAUUGUGGCAAUUUCCUGAUUUUUGUUCUGCAGCUGACCGUUUGCUGACCCUUCGAGCAAAUAGAAAUCUUUCCCAAAGGCAUCAAUAUAGAAUCAUACGUGCGUUCUACAACUGCUGUAUAAACACAGAGACAAACAUUUUGUUAUUUGCAUAAUUUUAGAAGCAAAACAGCCAACAUAACUCCAACCGAGCCAGGAAAGUAAACUGUAUAGGCAGCUGCAAACAAAGUUGAGCCCCCACCACAGAGAAGCUGGGAGUUCAGUGCUAAGCUCAACGGCACCUUGAACUACAAGAUAAUUUUAGCAAGCAAGAAGAAAGAAAAAAACAGAAGACAAGCAGGCUUCUUCGUAUUGUAAAUCUAUGUUUGAGUGGUUCCAAGAUAAGAGGAAUGGCACCAGACAGUUUUGAAGAAGGGGCACAACACAUACACUUCUUCAAUUCUUCAGAUGUACCAUAGUGGAUGGGAUGUAAUCCCUUCAGUUCUAAACAGACGAGGGGAAAUCAAAAACAAAGCAGCGCUAAAAACAACCAAAACAUCUGCAGGGCAGCCGGGCCAAGGCAGAGGGGAUAUCAAGCACACCCAGAUUCAGCCAAACAGAUGGUUUGUCUCCGCCAUCACUCUUACACACACAUACCCUGCUCAGACACACACUCACACUUGCUCCCACACAUGAGACGCCGAGCCUGGGAGCGGCACGCUGCCGACCGGGAGGGUGCAUCUUAGAAUGUGUGCUUGAAAAAUGGAGAUGAAAUCAAACAGUUCAACCCUCUAUGUGCCCACAUUAAGUCCACAUGUUGUGCAAUUUGAAAUAAACACAUGUGACCACAGAUGGAUACAAUAAUAACACACAUCCAUGCCCUUGCUUCUUCCGUGUAAACUCAAAUAAUGUUUUGGUUAAGUGUCUUAAAGUCCCUGUACACAGCAUGGAAGGAGGGACAGUGUGUUAAUUAACUGCUAACAAACACAUGGACAGAAUGAGUGCAUGCAGCAGCAGAGCUAUGCAGAGUGGGUGGUGUUUGCUGGAUUUCUUUCUCCCGGCCUUUCCCUCUUUGCCUCCGUCUCCCCGUAACAUGCUUCAGUGUGAAGCAGACCUGUUCAGACAGUGAGGGCCGACUCCUGUUUAGACUGAGACGGCGCCAGUCGUCCUCUCACUUCGCCUCAGCAGUGACAGACUUCUUUCACUGUGGGUCUAUACAACCAGCCAACAUGGGUCCAACAUUGGCUCAACAUUCAGGUAUGCAGUGAGACGAGACAUGUGACUUUGACGGAUGGCCGGGUGUUGACAAUGAGUGGCAGGUAGACUACCUGUUUCACAGUUCACUUGGAGAUUCAUUAAGCAUUUUGGACAGGCUUCUUUGGAAAGGUUUUGCUCUGGUGUAACCUGAUCCCUGGCCUGAGGGAUACUGUAAUGUUUUUACAUGAAUCGCCCUAAAGUAUGGGUGAGCGCUCUGUCACAGGCCAGAGGAGAGAGGAAAGAGCAAGGAGGAGAGGAAAACAUCCUUAUCUCUCUGCUUCUCUAAUGACAAAUGGCUCAUCCAACAAUGCACUCUCCAUUCAAACCAGGUUCUCAACUUUUUUUACAUCUCCCCUUCGUCCCCAUGUUGUGACAGGCAUCUAAAUUGAUUAAGCUGUGCCCCAGGAUCUGACACUACAGCGUGUUGCCUUCUAUUUGUUGAUUACUAUUGAUUUUCUUUGAUACUUCAUUUAAAAAUCAAUAGCCACAGCAGAAGAAAAAUAGGCGGAGUUUACACAUACUUUAACAUACUAUUGUGCAAAAGAUAAGGCCGCAGUUUUGGCAGUAGCAGCCAAUUACGAGGAAAGCUCUUAACAGGUGAAAGAGAGAGGCCCCUGAUCGAUUCUAAGCUUUCUUGUCCAAUCACAGAAAGUGGCCAUAAAUUAAAGCGCAUCUGUUUUGUUUUGAAGACAGCCAUGAAGCAUGGCUGCAACUUUUUUUUUCUUUUCUUGGUAUCCUUUACUUCUUAUAUACAGCCCCCACUUAUUAAAUAACUGCUUCAUUCUCCAUCAUUACAUGACAGACAGAAAGGACAAGUGUCAAAUAACAGGCAAACAGCGUGUCUACAGCAUGAUAUAUCAGUGAAACUUGACCUGUCCCACUACAUUUGAAUUUACAAUGGGAGUGAGAAGUAAUUUACAGUAAGUUAUGUUAUUCUACUCCUCAGAUCAGCCACUCUAGCUGUAUUGCUCCAGAGUUAUUAUGUAUGAGGCUUUUGUGUUUUUUCCAUAACAUUCCGUAACAUUAUUACUUGUAGCAUUAUGUGCCAUUUCAAUUUGAUCAAACAACAUCGAGGGGCAACAAAGAUGAAAGCGAGUGACGGAUUGCAAGCAAAAAAACUAAAAUGCAUUCAAUUGUUGGACGCCGUUGAGGCUCACUUGACAUCUGCCUUCUGCAGUGACACAAACUUGACCUUUGCCGAGAGGCGGAUCUCAAUUCUUCACUUUUCUCCAUGACAAAACAUAUAAUAUAACAGCUUCUUCCUAUCAAACAUACUGGGUCUAAACAAAAAAACUGAGAUGAAAAUACAAACACAUCGAUUUGAAAAGUGAAUUUCUUCUGUACACAAGAGAAGAGAAAACUGGGCUGAAAGGUAAUGUACGUGCCUUUUUUUAAAUGAAUUAAUUAGAUGUUGAUUCAGUCCAGACAAAAACUUCUCAGCACAAUUAGUCUCAUUUUAUUGAUUGAUUUCUUAUUAUUUACCUUAUUAGUGAGUCUGUUAACAGUACAUAAGGUUAUUAAUAUGAUUUUGAAUAAUACAUCUAUUUAGUCUUUAAAGUGUCCAAGUUGAAUAAGCAAUCUAAUUGUUAUUUGUUCUAACUUCUAAUCUUUAGUAUGUAUUUGUACUUUAUAAUUGACUAUAACAAUUAAUUGAUCAUCAACAUUAUAGUCAAGUUAACCAAUAAAAUUAGUUGGGCAACUUAAUUGAAAACAUUUAUAAAUUACUCAUCACAUAUUACUCAGUUAAAAAUACUACUGUAGGAGACAAAUACUAUGUUUUGGAUGUAUUUACUGACUGUCAACAACUAGCUGUAUUAUCUCCAAUGGCUUCACACACUCAACAGCACUACAGUAGUCCUGUCCUCACAAUGAAUGUGGCGUUCACACUCUCACCACUGACUAAAGUUAGAAAGCCAGGAAGCUAAUAAUGCACAACAUGAACCUUUGGUUGAUCUGAACACUCUAUCCCUCUAUGUUUUUCUCCCCGUCUAUAGCAAUGCAUAUCUGUCAUUUAUUCUCAUUCGCACUAAUCCUUUUCUCUAAUUUCGCUCUCAUUCUCACAUACCCCCCCACCCCCACAGCCCCUGUGUCAGCCCAUGCCCAAACUCAAGCAUGCAGAACAGAGCAGGCCGGUCUUCUCUAGCAGACCAGAACGCUCUGUUCUCAGAGUUCUCACCUUUCACCCGGGGUGAACGUGAGGCGGCAUCACUCGGUCCCCUCCCUGAGGCCCGCGGAGACCAGAACACAACACCAACCUGACGAGUCGAGCUUUACUACGGAGAGUCAGUGGCACGCUGAAAGACAGAAGCUUGGAGAAGAAACCAGGUAGAACCAACAUGUAACUGACAUCAUCGAAGAGACACAGCGAUGACAUGGAGACAUCAAAAGAGUUUAGGCGUCUCAUUGAGGCAGUGUUAGUGUGUCAAAUACAGAUCCCUCUGUGUGUGUGUGUGUGUGUGUGUGCAUACCAUAUAAGAUCCAAUAAUUUAUGUUUGGUAUGCAAAGUCUUCCUGCUGUACAACCAUGGAAGAUUUCCCAAAUAAAUCAUGUCUUUUCAUUUGUAGAUCAGCGAAAGACUGAUUUAAUUUGUAAAUCACCCCCAAAAUAUGCAGUACAUCACAAGUCAACUCUACUUUUAAAUGUGUCUGUGAUGUUCAUUUGUCAAUUGUUGUGUCUUAAGCAUUGUUGUGUCACUUCAGCGACGUGAGUUUAUAUCUUAGCCCAAUCUUACAAACUAUUUCUGUCUAGUCAACUAAAACAUCACCUGGGUUUUUUUUAGUUCAGCACAGUAACUUCUAUGCUUCUUGUAAACUUUAUAACAUUAUUAGAUUACCAUAAUACGUCCGUGAAAUGUGUGUGUGCUGCCCUGUAUAAUGGUGUGAGCACAUGUGUGUGUGCCAGCGAUAAAGCUGCGACCUUGUCCCUGCCCCCUCCAGCAGGAGUGACAGAUGCUCAGUAAUCUGUGUGAAAGGCGAUCCACCACUUAAUGGGAUUGUUUCUGUUACACCUUAAAGAAGAGGCAGCCAUCAGACCAGAGCUGCGCAGUCAUCUACCAUAAAUGCUGUCCUGGGACCUCAGGUGGACAUAGCGGAUGAAGAAACACCACACGCGUGUCAGAGGGCUUCACACCUCUGAAUCAUAAAACAGUGCAGAGCUCCCCUCCCUGCAGAGUGCAUUGUCUUAAAACAGAUGGCUGACAUAUUGACAAGGAGCAGAGAGAUGAUACGGUUGAAAAGUGUGAAACCACUUGAAAAUAUGGAAGCCUGAUUGCCACAGUUAAUGGAUAUGUUUUUGAGGUGCUGUCAAACAGGUGUCUGAUAAGACGAGACCCAAAAUGGAAAAUAUGUUACUAUUUGGGAUCAACUGGACACUUUUAGGUCCUUGACACACCCUAAUACACCCACAUAUUGUUCCUGUAAAGCUGGGUAGUACUUUAUUCACUGUUCCAAUGUAGCAUAGGAGUGGUAACACAAGUUAAUGAUGUGCUAACGUCCUCUGCUAAUGUUAGAUCCACAGGUUUUUACACAGAAACGUAAUGUUUUAGAAAUCUCCCUCCAACCUCUUCGGGUAAUGAGUAUUACUAUUACAUAACGUUUUUACCAAGAGUAUAGCUCAAAAUGCACAAACUUGGCCUGAAAAUUAAGAACAUCCGAUAUGAUUGCAUUAAAGUCUAUGGAUCACAACUGGAUAGUUAUUGGACCAAGGUCAGAGCUAGCCAAUGCUACGUUGUGAUUGGUCAGUCUGUGUUCUAGGGGCAGGACUUCGCAAAAGGUCAAUGAGCUUCAGCAGAUUUAGCUUCUUUUGGACAGAGACAGGCAAGCUGUUUCUCCCUGCUUCCCAAAUGUGUAUGAAGCUAACAACUACAAGUGCAUGCUUCAUAGUUAAUGUACAGACAGAGUGGUAUUGGUAUUCUCAUCCAACUCUGGGCAAGUAUGCAAAUAAGCAUAUUUCCCAAAACGUUGAGCUAUUCCUUCAAAACCAGUCCUCUCCUCACCAAGACACCCAACCUGAGACAGCGAGGGUGACAAUAGAGACAUUAACCCACACACAAAGACAGCAAGAGGGAACGAUACAGGAGAGAAAGACAGAAAAGGACGACAGCAUCUUUAUCUUUCCCCUCUCAUAGUAACAUGAGAAGGAGUUUCCUUCCUUCCUUCCACCUAUGGCAGCAGUAAAUCUGUCCGUGUCAUAAUGCCCAGCGUGUCAAAAUGAUAUGUUUGACCACCUCCAGGACAAAAGCGACCCUGGAUGGAUUUCCUCCCAGUGAGAAAUGACAGAUUGAGCCACGCGGCUCAACGCUCCUCUUCAAAAGGCCGCGACUAUGUGUCACCUGUGUAGAAUGUAAAGACACGUUGGAUAGAGUUUCACAGCAGACUUCUUCUAUUCAUGCUUAUGAUUGCUUUGUUUGGUGGACAGAUUUCAGUGUCCAUAGGGGAUGGUGAGGUGGUACCUCUGCUUUAUAAAUGAGCCGUUGCUUUGUCAGCACAGGAGUGGAGUUAUCUCAAGUAGCAGCUUAAAGAUUAAUGGACCGAGAUGAUUAUCAAUGACACCACAGUAUGGUGAUCGGGCCAAAGAGAUACUGUACCUACAGAAGAGUGAAUAAAUUAAGAAUACAACAGAUUAGUGUUGACACUUUGUGGAGCCUCUGCUGCCACACUGAGUGACAAGCUAAUGGGUGUCUUUAGAUUUAUAGUUGUGGUAAUGUUAUUGCGGGCAGUUGAAUUUUGAAAAGGCAGCAAAUAGCCUUCCCUAUAUCCAUGUUUUUUUUCUCCAUUCAUCCAAAAUGAUUCCACACAUUACUUAGUCAUGAUUAUUCAAUCCAAGUGAAAGUAUGUUUUAAAAACACCUCCUACUAAGUACAUAACACAAACGGUAGUGCUUUUAGACUGCAAUUUUUCAUAUUUGUUCUUUGACAUUGUUAUUCCUUUAUUUGAUAAAUCCAGUUGAUAUAUGAGAUGACAUGUUUGGAGAGAGAGAGAUGGAGAAUGACAUGCCGCAAAGCUCACUGGCUAGACGCAAACAUAGCCGGUGCCAUUGCCCCAAUGAGAUUAUAUUAUUGGUUUCAAUCAGUAAUAUUAAAUAAAUUAACGAUAUAAUAUUUUAAAGAGCAGUUGCUGUGAUUAUUUUUUGCAUAUGUGUUGUGAUCAUAGCUGGAUGUUAAAGUCAGCUCUCACCAUCACUGUUCACUCAGAAUGUGGACUUUCAAUAUUCACAUUUUGACAGAACACCAAUUUUGAGACUUAAUCUACAGUUUGGUUAUUGGUCCCUGAUCCCAGGAUGGUGGCCCGUUAUUGUUAAAAUAUGUUAAUAUCCCUAUGAUAUUAAAAUGUAUUGAUAUCAAUAAUUUAGUUUUAGUACUUGCUAAUAACCAAACACGUUCCUGCCAGAUCCCAAUGGCUGAUUAUAAUUAGUUAAAAAUAACUCUUCAUUUUUCUCCAUGUUAGUUUCCUGUCUAGGAAGACAUAAUAUACAGUAUGAGCCACUGAGGCCACUUCAUGAUGUCUUCAUGCGAGAAGAAUGACAAGAAGAACAGCAUCUCUAAAUACAGUGGCUGAACACACUUUAGCUGAACACUCCUGGUACUCGUGAGUAAUUCAUGUAUUUGAAAUCAGAUUUAAAAUCUGUCUUUACUGUGACAGACAGAGAGACAGAUGCACAGUUGAAUGAGUGAAGACCUAAGGGUCACAGUGGAGGGGUGUGGGGCCACAGAUCAGGGGUCCCGUUCCUUCUCCAGCCUUUUCAAUUAAGCCCCAGCAUACUAGUAACAAUUUAUGAACGUGACCUUCCAACUCUUCAGCUCCCGCACUCAGCCCCGGAGCCAACCUCUCCCACCCCCCAACUACAUCAAACCAACACCCAGUACCCCCCUGACCCUCUGACCCGCAACGCAUACCCCAUCUCGACAAGACAAUCGUAAUGACACACAUGCAAAAGCGUGUGUAUUAUGUAUGUACUCAUACCAGCCCAAUUGUGCACACACACUCACACACAGAAUCGUGUCCCCUGCGUUUACAUCAAGGGGUCAGCGGUUAUUUUUCAACACAGGCUCAAAGGUGAGUAAUAAAAAAAUCCAAUACAGUAAAUGCACGGGGUCACCAGCAUAUCAAUAUAUAAUACAGAAAGGGGACAGAUGACAAGCCAUAAGCCGAUAGAAAGCGAUUGAAUUCUCUGUUUCUCCCUAUCUUGCUAUCUCUGAAUGCAUCAAUCUGCAGCUGUUGAUAAUUGAAUUAAGAAGAAGACGUGAUUAACAAGUUCUUCAAAAAAGCUAGAAUUGCCUGCAAUCUGACGCCCGCAGACCUUGAUGGGCUUCUUUGGAGGCAAAAACUAUUUGUGACAUCUCCACAGUUCAGCCAGCUGUCUUCAUUUUAAUUAAAAAUCUUUCACGGUUGUAAGAGUUAUGGAAGGUACAUGGAGGGCUUCUGGCAGCGGCCUGACUGAAAUACCACAUAACAAAUUGUGUGUGCGAACAGAGUAAGCAACAGCUACAUCAAUCGGAUGUGACGAAGGAUAUGAUUUCCCAAAAUGGGGGCAUACCAAGGCAGCCAAUGCUCAGUAAUGCCGGAGAACUUUAUUGAAACUAUGAAACUUUAUAUGAUAUUAUGGGACCUGUUGUAAUUAACCUGAGUUCAUCGCAUUACCAAUAACUUUAUUGCAGUGCUGUUUGACUUUGGCAGGACUAUUAUUGAUGUGUGUUUCAUAUCUUGACUUUGAAUCAACCUGAAACAUGCUGUCAUCAUCAAACAUCUAUUUAAAAUAUGACAUAGAAAGAGAACUUUGGUGCUGCCUCUGGUUGUGAACAGUUUUAUCAUAAACAUGCCCUGCAGUUGCAGUCUGUGUGCUUGAAGAUAUUGGUCCGUAUGCAUGCAGAGAAGAUAGGUUGGAAUUUGAUUAACUCUAUUCAUUUUGGAAGCUUACUUCUCCUUAUUCACAUAUACCUGCAGUGAACCAUACAGAUGUAUGUGAUUAAGUGUGAUCCUUAAAGCUCUUCUUUUGGUCAGCUUGACAAACCAAACAAGUGGCUUUAAUACUGUGUGAGCUGACACUAUAUGAGGAUUCAAACGUCUGUAUUCAUGUGCAGUACAUUCACAAAAGAAAAUGUUAUUCAGCUGUUGACUUCCAAACAUCAUGCUAAACUUUAAACUCUGUAGUUCCAUGAAUUGUAAAUAAAUAAAUAAAAAAUAUUGAGCAAACAUUGUUUUAGCAAGGGAGAGAUCUGGAGAACAUUUUUUUUUCAUGUAAAAAAAUAUAAUUCUUAAUGUUGGGCUCAUGUCUGAUUGUCCAUUCUAUGUAUUAUUGUAUAAAAAAAGAAGACAGAACAAGACAAAUUAACUCCCGUAACACGCACAAUCAUCUGCAUAACAUUGACACUGGGCAAGGCGAGCGUUAGACACAUGAGGUUAUUCAUCACAAAAUUAAUUGUCAAAUUAGUUCUGAUCUCAUUGCUUAUUAUGUCAUGUCUGUGCGAGCCAAUGAAUAUAAAAAGACAAUAUGAUAUAUCUACAAUAAACGGGCCGUGGCGAUAAUUCGAGGCACCUGUGUUUAAUGACUAUGUAUGUGGGGCCAUAUUUGCAAAUCAUUUUAAAUACCAAUGAAUGCGAUAUAACUGACAGACCUCGCCAACAAUUACACCUUACCUCAGAUAACAUCAUCUUCUUCAACCAGUAAGAGAGAGGGAAACAUAUUUCAAAAUAGCUCUUAUGCAUGUGAAUAUAUAAAAAGUAUUUUUUUAUGGUUGGUUAUAACCAGAUUUUUAUUAUGCAAAACAAAUGUUACCUUCCACAACCAAACUGUUACGGCCUGUCAUCUUCAAGUUCAUUCUCCCAAGACCUCAAUCACACUCCCUGCUGCUCCUUAAUAGACUGAGGUCCUCUCAGUGACACCAUAACUCACUCACACGUCUCUGCUGAGGCUAUUGUCCUCUUUCCUUUAUCACCGUACCAAGACUUUUCACCUUCUGCAGCAGCGACGAGGAAUCAGACAAUCUGUCAUGCACUUGUUUUAGUUUUAUUUGCAAGUCUUCACUUUGAUUCUGUACCAUGCUCAGGCCUCCAACACUAACACACUUUGUCAUUAUUGCCUUCACACAAGCAAUCAGACAUCAGAGGGAUGCACCGAAGACCAAACACAGGCCUCGGUCAUAAUAGGGUCCGGUGCGGCGUAUGUCAUUUAUGUGACCCUGGCAGGCCAGUGGAAGGGAAGUAAUGAAUUAGAGUGGAGCUUGAAAGGCAUUAGAGAUUAGGAAGCAGAGAGGGCUCCACUGAGGAACGACUGCAAGGUCAAAGGUUAGGCAUAUACCACCAACAGUUGUCAGACAACCUCAGCAUGUUUAUUAAGCAGAGAUCUGCUUAUAGUGGAAUGGAAAAGGGAAUGAAUCGACUGGUUUCUACUGCAAAGCCAAAAGGGUGUGCAGGUGAACAUUUAGUUUUUGCAUACAGGAAGGCAUGUACAGUAUGUUGCCAAUUAUGGGACAAUGAUAACAAUGUCUGUUAUGGGACAGCUAAGUCUGGUAACUUUUCCGUCACUGUACUGUAAGGCAGCCUUUAAAACCAGGAAGACAAUAUCGAAAAUCUAAGAUGAAGAUUUGUCUUAUAUCACAUUAUCCAUAUAUUGCCCAGCCCUAUUCGAAUUUGACAUUUAACCAAAUAUUUUACAUGAAGAAACUUUGCAUUGCAACGACACUAGAAGUUGUAGUAGACUUUCUCAUGUGUACAUCCAGCUAUAAGGCCUCCUUUAAAACUAAAUAAAUGUGAGAUUAAUUGCUUUGUGGAUCUGAUCCUUCCCCUUUAGAAUGUAAAGAAGCACUCUCAGGAUCCUGACGAGGUAUAAAUUGUGCAAUUCUCUGUGAGGAAAAACCCCAUUCUCCCUCCCUGCCUGCCCCCAUAGGUGCGAUAAGUAAAGCAUCCCCGUAAAUCUGUGAUCAUCAAAGAAGUUCUGCUUCUAGCCAUCGUAACUACAGACUCUGAUCCGAGAGACAGAGGGGUCAGGAGUGCGGGGCGUCCUGACUCAGAGACUGUCAAUAACUAACUCCUUCCCUGAUCGUCAGCUUCAUGCACCGGGUUCUUGUGACACAUCGUCUUGUUAUUCUUGCUGUGAAACAUUACUCGGAGUACAGUCAUCUGAUAAAGUCGUAAAUGAAUAAAUGGCUCCAGAAGUGGGAAUCUGAGUAGGUCGGCCAGACUUGUUAUGAUGUCACUUCCUGCAGCAAUUACAAUACCAUGAUGUUUUUAUGAUGAUGCGAUUACUGUUAGUGAUUAUAUUCUUGUGUUUUGUUUAAUGCAAAUCAAGUUUUGUGAUUGUGAGAUGAAUGCAUUAUAGAGUACACAUGUAACACAUUUUAAGACCUUUACAUUAGCAAUGUUCUACUUCUUUGGUGACCCCAUUAUUUAAUAUUUAUUUAUUUUCUGAGGUAUGAAAAAAACAAGUGAAACAGAUGCUGGCUUUUACUUAAACUUACAAUUCAGCCUGCAUCACAGAUAACUUGUGACAAACCAAACAAAAAUGAAGGAUUUCUAAACAAAGGAGAAAGGCACAAACAACAUGUGUCAUUGUCCAAUCUGAUUAUUCCAAUGGGCCAUGUGUCUGAGCCAAGUGGGGCUUUGUGACUGAAAUACAAAUAAUGGCACAGUACAAACACUCUAGCGCAAGAUCAUUUGAUAUCUUGCUUGUACAAAUAAUACAAUUAUGCACAAUACAAAUGAUUGAUUUGAAAAACAGCCUGUUGUCCAUUCCGUGCCAAUCUUAUAAAAAACUGGUCCAAAUUGUGACCUGCGUUGUCGCAAGAGAAGCAUGAAUGGUGCCACUUCUCUCCCAAGGCCGGCUGCGCAGCCGUGGCUAAUGUCAAUUAGCCAGAGUGGCUUAGUGACUGUGACCUAAAGAUGAUCGCUGGUGUCAGCUGCUGGCCAAGGUCAUGCCACAAUGUUAACAAGAUUUGAUCCUCUGAGCUCUCCGUUGCACUUUCCCUGCAUCUCCCUGUUCAUCCUUUCUGUGCGUCCCGUCUCUUGUAACAAUAUUUCACUGUCAGGUUUUA